GGGUGUGUCCCUGGAGAGUCUGGCUGCUGACCACCAUGGGUCUGACAGUGGCAGUGUUGGCUUGCCGUAUUGGCCUUUCAUCCACACUGCUGGCAGACAGGCUCUCUGCCUCUCUGAAGAAGCGGUCGUAGCGGUCGAGCUCGUCCCGGUAGCUGUGUGGGCCGAGCACCAUUGAGGUCUACACCGAGGACAUCAGGAGGAUCCAUGGGAUUCCCGAGGUCCCUGUGGAUGAACCUCCUCUGCUCCAGGUAGGCCAUGCCACAGGCCACCUGCACUGCAUACUGACACAGAGUGUGGAUCAGCACGGGGCCCUGUGGACGGACACAUCGCAGACGCUCCAGCAAAGAACCCAGAGGAGCUAGCUCAGUCACCUUCGCAACAAGAAGAGAGAGAGAGAGAGAGGGAGGGAAAAAGAGUGAACAGUGGUACAUGGGAGUAACAAGUCAGAAGGAAAGAGGAGUAUAUGAUUUAGAUGAGAAAGGGAGGUGUCAUUUCAAUAUGCAAAAAAGAAAAGGUGUGAGAAUAUGAGGAGGAAAUACGUAGAAGAAAAAACGAGAAUGGAAAGAAAAACACCGCAAGAAGUAGUGGGAUGAAAUAACAAGGCUAAAAUGUCAGCCUUUAUUUUAGACCUCCU